UGUAAACACAUUUACCGCUCUUGAAA
rnacentral:misc_RNA from 1 species